GGAUAAACCGCGAUAGGCCAAGAUUUCUGGAAUGGAUCAUGGCUGAAAUCUAUAUGGCCCUUGGAUUGGACUGCGGCCGAUCAGGCUGUUGGUGAGGUAAUGGCCCACCAAACCUAUAACCGGUACGGGCUUUGAGAGAAGGAGCCCGGAGAUGGGCACUGAGACAAGGGCCCAGGCCCUAUGGGGCGCAGCAGGCGCGAAAACUCUGCAAUAGGCGAAAGCUUGACAGGGUUACUCUGAGUGAUGUCCGUUAAGGGCAUCUUUUGGUACCUCUAAAAAUGGUGCAGAAUAAGGGGUGGGCAAGUCUGGUGUCAGCCGCCGCGGUAAUACCAGCACCCCGAGUGGUCGGGACGAUUAUUGGGCCUAAAGCAUCCGUAGCUUGUCCUGCAAGUCUUCCGUUAAAUCCACCUGCUCAACAGAUGGGCUGCGGAGGAUACUACAGGGCUAGGAGGCGGGAGAGGCAAGCGGUACUCAGUGGGUAGGGGUAAAAUCCUCUGAUCCACUGAAGACCACCAGUGGCGAAGGCGGCUUGCCAGAACGCGCUCGACGGUGAGGGAUGAAAGCUGGGGGAGCAAACCGGAUUAGAUACCCCGGGUAGUCCCAGCUGUAAACGAUGCAGAUUCGGUGAAUGGGGUUGGCUUUCGAGCCAACCCAGGUGCCGCAGGGAAAGCCGUUAAGUCUGCCGCCUGGGGGAGUACGGGUCGCAAGGGCUGAAACUUAAAAGGAAUUGGGCGGGGGGAGCAC
rnacentral:rRNA from 1 species